CAGACUUCCCAAGGCAAAGUUGGAGGGCGCCAUGUUUUCACGGGAAGACAGUGGAAGACGACAUGGACAGUAGUUUAACAAGGAAAUUCAUCGAUGUGGAGCCAUAUGGGAAGCGUCUAAGAAGCAGAGUCCUCUCUGUGUGUAAAACAGCAGCUUGCACCAACGAAGACGCCUGACUGAGAAGAAUAUUGAAGGAUGUUGACGCUCAAGUACAACAGUAUAUACAGUACAGUUAUAUUGGUGUUUUUUAUCUCCUGUACAGCGACCUUGGGUGUCCUGAAAGGCGCUUUUAAAUAAAAUGUAUUAUUAUUAUUAUUAUAGUACAGCUGUUGAAUGACACCAACAUGGUUUAGUUAUUCAUUCAUUCAUUUUCUAUGUCGCUUAUCCUCACGAGGGUGGGGGUAUGCUGGAGCCUAUCCCAGCUGUUUUCGGGCGAGAGGCGGGGUACACCCUGGACUGGUGGACCGGCCAAUCCCAGGGCACAUAUAGACAAACAACCAUUCACACUCACAUACCUAUGGACAAUUUGGAGUGGCCAAUUAACCUAGCAUGUUUUUGGAAUGUGGGAGGAAACCGGAGUACCCGGAGAAAACCCACGCAUGCGCGGGGAGAACAUGCGAACUCCACACAGAGAUGCAACGGAGAAUCGAACCCAGGUCUUUGGUUUAGUGA